GUUUUAAUAAUUUAACUAAAAUAUUGAUUUUGUAAAUCAAAUAUAAGAUUUAGUCUUUUAAAACA
rnacentral:tRNA from 1 species